rnacentral:rRNA from 1 species
GACGAACGCUGGCGGCGUGCUUAACACAUGCAAGUCGAACGGAAAGGCCCUGCUCUUGUGGCGUGCUCGAGUGGCGAACGGGAGAGUAACCCGUGAGUAACCUGCCCUUGACUUUGGGAUAACGCUAGGAAACUGGGGCCAAUACCGGAUAGGAGCGCCUGCUCCCGGGUGGGGGCUGGCGAGUGUCGGCGGUUGGGGAUGGGCUCGCGGCUUAUCAGCUGGUUGGUGGGGUAGUGGCUUACCAAGGCUUUGACGGGUAGCCGGCCUGAGCGGGUGACCGGCCACAUUGGGACUGAGAUACCGCCCAGACUCCUACGGGAGGCAGCAGUGGGGAAUAAUGCACAAUGGGCGGAAGCCUGAUGCAGCAACGCCGCGUGCGGGAUGACGGCCUUCGGGUUGUAGUCCGCUUUCGCCUGUGACGAAGAGUGAGUGACGGUAAUGGGUAAAGAAGCACCGGCUAACUACGUG